rnacentral:rRNA from 1 species
AAUAGAUACCCAGGUAGUCCACCCCGUAAACAUUGGGAACUAGUUGUGGGGUCCAUUCCACGGAUUCCGUGACGCAGCUAACGCAUUAAGUUCCCCGCCUGGGGAGUACGGCCGCAAGGCUAAAACUCAAAGGAAUUGACGGGGACCCGCACAAGCGGCGGAGCAUGCGGAUUAAUUCGAUGCAACGCGAAGAACCUUACCAAGGCUUGACAUAUACGAGAACGCUGCAGAAAUGUAGAACUCUUUGGACACUCGUAAACAGGUGGUGCAUGGUUGUCGUCAGCUCGUGUCGUGAGAUGUUGGGUUAAGUCCCGCAACGAGCGCAACCCUCGUUCUAUGUUGCCAGCACGUAAUGGUGGGAACUCAUGGGAUACUGCCGGGGUCAACUCGGAGGAAGGUGGGGAUGACGUCAAAUCAUCAUGCCCCUUAUGUCUUGGGCUUCACGCAUGCUACAAUGGCCGGUACAAAGGGCUGCAAUACCGUAAGGUGGAGCGAAUCCCAAAAAAGCCGGUCCCAGUUCGGAUUGAGGU